UCAGGAGAGCAGUCACUCGGCUGAGCAAACCAGGAACCUCAUCGCCAACACUGAAGACCAUAAUCUCUGAGAUCUGUGUGUUUUAGCUGGUUUUACUACAUUUGAUCAUGUUAUGGAUGCUUUUUCCUGGACCUGGAUGUGUGUUUGUGACAAAGUAACAACAUUGAGUGAUCAUCAACAACUCACCUAAUCCCAUGUUGUCGAGGACUGAUAGUGGCUGAUUGUCAAGAACAGCAUACUGGGAGCUCUUCUUUUCCUCACUUCAGAGACGAACCCAGACGAACACAUUGCGAUUCUGAGAGAGCGUGACUCGGCUUUGAAGGUUAAAUGUCUAGAGCGAGUCGCUUCCUUCACACUUCUCCUCUGAUCUCUGCUCCUAGCUUUACAAGGUAACAAUCAAUCAGCGUAAAAAAAAAAUGCUGGAUUAAAGAGUCGAGUCAAGAGUCAGACUGAGGAACGCGGCAGUGUUCUGCUGCUUUACAUCUACACACACAACAUCCUGAUAGAAACGUGCGGCUGCCUGGGAAAACCCUUGACGAGGUGCAGUUUUGACAUUUUCUGAUGUAUACAGCUCUGAAUACGACAUGUACGCAUGGAUUUAGUUUUCAUUAAAUAUGAAAUACGAUCUAAAAAUGAUAAACAUGGCCAUGAAAACUGUCUGUCUUUGUAACAGCCUUUAUGCACCGCCUACAAACUGGCUCCGCCUUAAAUGUAUAUAUAUUAUUAGAUUAUUUUAUUAUAAACUAGAUAGAUUUAAACAUCAAUAACUCUGUUCCCAUCUCCAUAUUAACUU